rnacentral:pre_miRNA from 1 species
AUGGUCAUGAUGGUGAAGAUGGGCACAUGAAGAACUAACUCAAUUAUAUAUCAUCACACUCCACACACAUCUAUAUAUAUAUAUAUGCAUUUGGUGAUGAGAGUGUAUAUAUAUAUGCAAAGAUGAGCUAGUAAUGCACGUGCCCUGCUUCUCCAUCUUGCUCAG